UACGUAGGGUGCGAAGCGUUGUCCGGAAUUAUUGGGCGUAAAGAGCUCGUAGGCGGUCUGUCGCGUCGGCUGUGAAAAGCCUGGGGCUCAACUCCGGGCCUGCAGCCGAUACGGGCAGACUAGAAUUCGGUAGGGGAGACUGGAAUUCCUGGUGUAGCGGUGAAAUGCGCAGAUAUCAGGAGGAACACCGGUGGCGAAGGCGGGUCUCUGGGCCGAUAUUGACGCUGAGGAGCGAAAGCGUGGGGAGCAAACAGG
rnacentral:rRNA from 1 species